rnacentral:rRNA from 1 species
UGCCAGCCGCCGCGGUAAUACAGAGGGUGCAAACGUUGUUCGGAAUUACUGGGCGUAAAGCGCGUGUAGGCGGCAUGUUAAGUCGACUGUGAAAGCCCAUAGCUCAACUAUGGAAGUGCAGUCGAUACUGGCAAGCUCGAGUCCCGGAGAGGAUGAUGGAAUUCCCAGUGUAGAGGUGAAAUUCGUAGAUAUUGGGAGGAACACCGGUGGCGAAGGCGACCAUCUGGACGGGUACUGACGCUGAGACGCGAAAGCGUGGGGAGCAAACAGGAUUAGAUA